CAGAAAUAGAGCACUGAGCGCCGGAACUGCAUGGAGCUGUGGCUGCUGUUAAGAAGAUGGAAAAUGCACAACCGGAGCCCUUCAGAGUGACUGUCCACCUGGUGGAGAGAAUGCCAAGAGUGUGCAACGCUGUCAUCAAGGCAAAAGAGCUCAUUUCCUAACACCACAGAACCCUGCAGAGAGGGAGCAGCUUCAGUUAAACUCUCCUCGCAUGCAGUGAGCUCCACCAAG